ACCAGUGUGGUGUAGUGGUAUGAACAUUGGACUAUGACUCUGGAGAUCAGGGUUCAAAUCCCUGCUCAGCCA